AUGGACCUAUUUGAUGAGUUCUUUUUUGGGUCCAUCGCCCUAGCCCGGCUGAACUAUGGGAUAAUCACCCUCGUCCCCAAAGUGACUGGGGCCUCGGACAUCCGUCAAUUCCGUCCGAUUACGGUGAUUAACGUCAUCUUCCGCAUCCUCGCGAAGGGGUACACCAUCAGGGUGGCCCCUUUGGGCGACCGGAUCACCCACCCUGAUCAGUCAACCUUCAUCCAGGGGCGCCAUAUCCUUGACGGAGUCUUGGUGUUCCACGAAGCUCUCCAUGAGGUGCACUCCAAACAUCUCAAGGCAGUCUUCCUGAAACUGGAUUUCCACAAGGCUUAUGACACGGUCAGUUGGACCUUCGCCCGG
rnacentral:rRNA from 1 species